CAAUUUUUUCGAGAGUUUGAUCCUGGCUCAGGAUGAACGCUGGCUGUGUGCCUAAUACAUGCAUGUCGAGCGAAGUUCUUCGGAACUUAGCGGCGAAUGGGUGAGUAACACGUACUCAACGUACCCUUUAGAUUGGGAUAGCGGUUGGAAACAGCCGAUAAUACCAAAUAUGCACAUUUUUCGCAUGAAAAGUGUGUGAAAGGAGCAAUUGUUCCGCUAAAGGAGCGGGGUGCGCAACAUUAGCUAGUUGGUGAGGUAACGGCCCACCAAGGCGAUGAUGUUUAGCGGGGUUGAGAGACUGAACCGCCACACUGGGACUGAGAUACGGCCCAGACUCCUACGGGAGGCAGCAGUAGGGAAUAUUCCACAAUGGACGAAAGUCUGAUGGAGCGACACAGCGUGCAGGAUGAAGGCCCCAUGGGUUGUAAACUGCUGUGGUAAGGGAAGAAAAAGCAGAAGAGUGGAACGCUUUUGCCUUGACGGUACCUUAUUAGAAAGCGACGGCUAACUAUGUGCCAGCAGCCGCGGUAAUACAUAGGUCGCAAGCGUUAUCCGGAAUUAUUGGGCGUAAAGCGUCUGUAGGUUGUUUGUUAAGUCUGACGUCAAAUUUUGGGGCUCAACCCCAAACCGCGUUGGAUACUGGCAUACUAGAGUUAUGUAGAGGUUAGCGGAAUUCCUUGUGAAGCGGUGGAAUGCGUAGAUAUAAGGAAGAACACCAAUAUGGCGAAGGCAGCUAACUGGACAUACACUGACACUGAGAGACGAAAGCGUGGGGAGCAAACAGGAUUAGAUACCCUGGUAGUCCACGCCCUAAACGAUGAUCAUUAGCUGAUGGAAAAUUCAUCGGCGCAGCUAACGCAUUAAAUGAUCCGCCUGAGUAGUACGUUCGCAAGAAUAAAACUUAAAGGAAUUGACGGGGAUCCGCACAAGCGGUGGAGCAUGUGGUUUAAUUUGAAGAUACGCGUAGAACCUUACCCACUCUUGACAUCUUCUGCAAAGCUAUAGAGAUAUAGUGGAGGUUAACAGAAUGACAGAUGGUGCAUGGUUGUCGUCAGCUCGUGUCGUGAGAUGUACGGUUAAGUCCUGCAACGAGCGCAACCCUUGUCCUUAGUUACUAACAUUAAGUUGAGCACUCUAAGGAGACUGCCCGAGUAAUUGGGAGGAAGGUGGGGACGACGUCAAAUCAUCAUGCCUCUUACGAGUGGGGCAACACACGUGCUACAAUGGUCGGUACAAAGAGAAGCAAACUGGUGACAGGGAGCAAACCUCAAAAAACCGAUCUCAGUUCGGAUUGUAGUCUGCAACUCGACUACAUGAAGUCGGAAUCGCUAGUAAUCGUAGAUCAGCUACGCUACGGUGAAUACGUUCUCGGGUCUUGUACACACCGCCCGUCAAACCAUGGGAGCUGGUAAUGCCCGAAGUCGGUUUAUAAACAAACUGCCUAAGGCAGGACUGGUGACUGGGGUUAAGUCGUAACAAGGUAUCCCUACGAGAACGUGGGGAUGGAUCACCUCCUUUCUA
rnacentral:rRNA from 2 species